CUCCUUUGUCUUGGCUGAGGAAACUGGUCAAUGGUGGAAAGAAAGGUAGAAUCAGAAUUUCACCUUUUUUCCAGGAUCUCUGUGUAAAAGUGGCUGCAGUUGAUUGGCAAUUUGACACCUUU